rnacentral:rRNA from 1 species
GUACGGGAGGCAGCAGUCGAGAAUUUUUCACAAUGGGGGAAACCCUGAUGGAGCGACGCCGCGUGGGGGAUGAAUGGCUUCGGCCCGUAAACCCCUGUCAUUCGGGAUCAAUGCCUGUUAUUUAAAAGAUGGCAGGUUGAUAGUACCGGAAGAGGAAGGGACGGCUAACUCUGUGCCAGCAGCCGCGGUAAUACAGAGGUCCCAAGCGUUGUUCGGAUUCACUGGGCGUAAAGGGUGCGUAGGUGGUCGGGUAAGUCUGAUGUGAAAUCUCGGAGCUCAACUCCGAAACGGCAUUGGAUACUAUUCGGCUUGAGGAUUGGAGGGGGGACUGGAAUUCUCGGUGUAGCAGUGAAAUGCGUAGAUAUCGAGAGGAACACCAGUGGCGAAGGCGAGUCCCUGGACAAUUCCUGACACUGAGGCACGAAAGCUAGGGGAGCAAACAGGAUUAGAUACCCCGGUAGG